UUGAGUUCUCACUCAACAUAUCUAUAUAUCUCAACAUCCGAGAGAAGAACAUAAAAGCAUCAUCUUACAGGUAAAAUACUCUUGGUCUAAUUCCUCUAGUUUCAUAGUUUGUAUACCGUUAAAAAGAUUCUUGUUAGUCUCUGCUAAUUACUCUGUUCGUCAUCGUUCAAACAUUUAUAUGGAGUUAAAACAAACAUGAUGCUCAGUUUUUAAUCCAUUUUAUAGAUCUUGCUGUCUUAAAUCUAAUGAACUGAUUUGUCGCUAUAUAUGUGUUAAUAACUUUAACAAUAAGAAUUGUGUUCUUAAACAGAGAGGUUUAGUUAUAUCUCGUCUUUAAUCAUAAAUCAUGUUGUCUUAAUUAAGUUCAAUGAUGUGAGAAUAAUUUAGUUAGAAAUUAUGUUAUGUCUAAGAAAACAUACACGGUUUUUUGGUCUAUUGAUUUUUGGAUUUUUAAAUAACGUAGUUAUAAUAAUGCAUGUACAAAAGUUGUUGACAAGGUGAAAAAAAUUGUAAUGACUAAUGAUGAUUGAUUUUGAUUAUUUUUUUGCAGAGGAUGCAAAAGUCUAGAGACUGUGUCUGGAGUUCUCCAUCUUCUACUUGGCCAACCUUUGAAGUUAACCAGAUUGUUUUGUCUAAUUUUGUUUAUUUUGAUGAAAGAUGGAUGUAUAGAAGUAUAUAGGAUGUAGAUUAAAAUCGGUGAUGUGUGUGUGUAGAGAGAAAGUAAACACACAAAAAUGCAACGAAGUGUAGAGAGAGAG
rnacentral:lncRNA from 1 species